UAAACUGCCUUAAAUAAAGCACAUGUUGGUGUACCUAACCUUCCAGGCAUUUUGACAUUUUGACAGACAAGAUUAUUUAUUUUAAUGUUUUUUUUCAAAUUAUGUUUGCGACUAAAUUCAUAGAAAGUGGCAUUUUUAUUAACUUUUAUGAAAUAUAAAUAAUUCACCACGUUCUAUGAGAAAUAACUGUGAUAAUGGAUGCAAUAAGUGAGCGUCGUGACAGUAAUAACAGCAGUGAUUCAUUAGAUAUUAAUACACGAAGAAAAUUUAAUGAAAUUUGUGAAAUAUCAUCAAAUUGGGAGAUAAAUAAUGAAAAAACAUUUUCCGACACCAUUUCCAUUGUUCCUCGUUCAAAAAUAGCGAAACGACCAAACUUGGAAGAUAUUGUUUCACUAGACACAUGUCUUGGACUCUGCAAUAGAAAAAAUUUAGACGAACCUUGUCUGUUUGAUAUCAAAAUAACAAAUGGUCAGAAAAUAAGUAGCAUCGCUUUAGUAUCGGAAGCGCCUGUUUUAGAAUUUUUCAAACAAUCUGGAGAAUAUGCAGCAACAAUUUUUGCCGAAUUUGUCGAUGAAUUUGAAAAUAAUUCCGUUUAUUUGGGAGAAAUGAAUUUUGAUCCACCCACAUCGGAAGCGAGUAUUCAGUUCACAAAAGUGAAGAAUAAGACUUCAUUAAUGUGGUUAUAUGGUGUAAGGCUGACAUUAACAGACCAAUUAUCGAAAGAGGAGACAAAAAUGUUUAAUCCUCAAAUAAUAAAUGAUUUUUUGCUAAAUUUCAAUAAAUCUAAAUCGAAAAGUGUUGAAAUAGCAAAUAAAGUGUUCCAGUCACUCAAUGGACGUGAAUCGAAUUCAUCAAAUGAAGAUAUUGAUUUAUAUUUAACAAAAUUUAUAGGAAUGGGCUUCUUACCACAUAAGCAAAAAAUCGUUACUAAAGAAAAAGAUAAACAGAAAAUUGAAACAAUUUCUAUCACAAAACCAAAUGAAAAUGAUAUUAAAAGUUAUAUAGAUAAAAAAUUUGUAGAUAUGGAAAAACGAUUGAUGGACAAAAUAGACCAAGUGGAGCAAAAGACUAAUCAAAAAUUAGAUAAAAUUCUCAACAUUUUAGAAACAAAAUCAUCAUAAUAUUUGCAAUUCAUAAGUGAGAUUAUAUUUCGAUUAGUUUUUAGUUGGAAUUUAAGAGGAGUUUUAAGUAUAAUUAUACAAGAUUUAUUUAUAUAUUGGAAACAAAUAAAUUAUGAAAAAAAUUAAGAACAAUUUUUGACUUUUUCCCUGACCCAAGAAGACUAGAGACAGGAGGUAAAACUUCGGUAGUGGGGGUAUGGCAAUGCUGAGUCACUCAGCUGAUGUAUGGUCAGGCGUUUACUUUCAAAAAAGUUUUCGCCGCAAUAGACCACAUGGACUUCUGCGCAUCUAAACACGUAAACACGGGAAAAUAUAUUCUAUACAAAUACAAUAUGAAAUAUAGAAAUUUAUAUUUUUAAA